rnacentral:rRNA from 1 species
GACGAACGCUGGCGGCGUGCCUAAUACAUGCAAGUAGAACGCUGAAGAGAGGAGCUUCCUCUUCUUGGAUGAGUUGCGAACGGGUGAGUAACGCGUAGGUAACCUGCCUUGUAGCGGGGGAUAACUAUUGGAAACGAUAGCUAAUACCGCAUAACAAUGGAUGACACAUGUCAUUUAUUUGAAAGGGGCAAUUGCUCCACUACAAGAUGGACCUGCGUUGUAUUAGCUAGUAGGUGAGGUAAUGGCUCACCUAGGCGACGAUACAUAGCCGACCUGAGAGGGUGAUCGGCCACACUGGGACUGAGACACGGCCCAGACUCCUACGGGAGGCAGCAGUAGGGAAUCUUCGGCAAUUGGGGCAACUCUGACCGGGCAACGCCGCGUGAGUGAAGAAGGUUUUCGGAUCGUAAAGCUCUGUUGUAAGUCAAGAACGGGUGUGAGAGUGGAAAGUUCACACUGUGACGGUAGCUUACCAGAAAGGGACGGCUAACUACGUG